rnacentral:snRNA from 1 species
GUGCUCACUUUGGCAGCACACAUACUAAAAUUGGAAUGAUACAGAGAAGAUUAGCAUGGCCCCAGUACAAGGAUGACAUGCAAAUUUGUGAAGCAUUCCAUAUUUUU